rnacentral:lncRNA from 1 species
CGUGGAACAGGGCAUUAGUCAAUUUUAGCCAUUUCAGGUUAAUCACUGACACUGUCCAAAGAAAUACUACCAAGAGUCGGCGUUGGUAACGGCUGUCGUUGAUAUCACUGUUCCUGUGCUCUUUGGUUCUGUCAUCCUGGAAAGGUUCAAUUUGUUAUUCUGAAAUGCUAUUUAACCGGCGGUCUGGUUUCUAUAAUUUAAAU